CAGGCUUGGAAUUUAACAUCUGAUUUGUACAGCACUGGGGUCUUCAUUCCAGCUGUGAAGGCAACACUAUAUCAGGUGCAUUUUUGGCUGGAUCACUGAUACCACAGGUGACUGGCUGGAGGCCUGAGACAAUCAGGGACUAAAAGUGACACUGAAGAGUGACCAAAUAGUAGCUCUUGCAAUGCUUGUCCCAAAAAGGCCGUUUCAUAGGACGCUCUACAAAGGAAUAAUCCUUUUUGACAACCUUUAAAGGGUCACAGUUGCAUUUAAAGCCCAUGACCAGUAGCACUAUUAAUGGUGUAUUUGCAAAGAGAGGACACACAGAGCAGUUCUUCCCGGGAUAAUGUGGAAGUGUUUAAUCUCUUUUGCACUACAGAAGAGGCUUCUUGCUUGUGUUGAAUGGCUGAAAUAUGAGACUACAUGUUUUCCAUAAUCAUUGAAACAAUAAUGUACCAGCUUCUCCCCAAGCUAAAAAUAAUCCUGUCAUGUGCAUGCCCCUUUUCCUCUUCGCCUUGAUAACAGAAUUCAAAUUCCCAUAAAUAAAGUUCCUCUUUUUUUUUCAUUUUUCAUAGACUUGUCCCUAGCAAAUUUAGUUUCAAGGUCUUUUAUUUCUGUUUCUAAAGUAAUUAUCCUCUGGGCCUCUUCCUUUCUUCCUGGUAUGAUGCUAGACUAAUUAUUCUUCUCCUAAUGAAUGCCUGAAAUGUAUCCCAUAUGGUGGCAUAUGCGCCUUCAGAUGGAAGCUUCGUUUGAAUAAAAUAAGAAAAUUCUUCUCUUGGGGCUUUCUUAAAUUUUUCAUUCUGUAACAAUGAUGAGUGAAAUAUCUGUCUUGGGGAUAGAUGCAGCCAACUUGCUUUCUAUUACACACUGAGCUUUCUCUGAACUGGAGAUUUCCAUGUCUUACUCUCUUGCUGUGGCCAUCAGAGCUCUUUCUCCACACUGUCAAAAAGACUGCUUGAAUGAGGCAAAGCAUCAGUACAACUGAUCUGAAAAACACUCUGUACAUCGUUGUUUCUCUCACAGUUCUUUGUCCCCUUUCUCUGCUCCUAUCCUAUGCAAUACCUACUGAAAUUACCUAUGGAAAACUGCAGACUUUAGAGGUCCUGCUCAUCAAUAUGUACAAGGAUAUGUACAAGUCCCACUUGUGGAUGUGUACAAGGAUAUGUACAAGUCCUGCUCAUGGAUGCGUACAAGCUUCUAUUGAGAGCUGUGCAAUGGAGAGGCUUUUCACUGACUUAUGCAGGAGCAGGGUCCUGGAUACAACUUUCUGCAAGCACCUGUAAGUAAAACAAGUGAGCUCACAUCAAACUAAAAUAUGUCUCACAUAUUUUUUUCCAGCUCUGCCAGCCAAGUUGUUGGCAAAUUCAAUCUUUCUAUUGCUUAAAAUCCAUAGUUUUUUCUAUAGAUAUAAUGUUAAUUCUCUCAUGUUUUGUGUAACUUUUUGUUUUUUAUUUGUGGAAGUACUGGAAUGCUGUGUCCAGUUUUGGAUCCUCAGCACAGCAGGGACAGGAGCUCCUGGAGCUGAGCAAGGGCCUGGAGCAUCUCUGUGCCCAGGAAAGGCUGAGGGAGCUGGGGCUGCUCAGCCUGGAGAGGAGCCCCAGCUGAGAAGAGCCUCAGCCCUGUCACAGAAUCAUCAAGGUUGGAAGAGACCUUGAAGAUGAUCCAGUCCAGCCCCAACACACUGAGCCUGAGUCCACUCAGCAAUCCUCUAGUGGGUAAGAGUGCACCCUCUAACUCUGGAGGUGAUGCAAUGGCCUGGACCAGCCUGACACAGGGCUGUUGAUACAGCUGCAUGAAAGAAAUGCCAAAAUGGAAAUAUUUAUAGACAAAUGAAAUUGAAAUGCUCUUUUAGAAACCACUGAUUCUGCAUGAAGUUAUUUUAGGAGCGUUUCACUUGAAUCAUGCUAAUGGCUUGGGAAAACACAAUCAUUUUAUCUGCUGCAGGUAUUUGAUCUUGCUUUCAGAAACACUGUGGGGAAACACUCCAUUGAUUUUUCAUUGGAACAUUUGAUCCCAGGUUGAUAAAGGACAGUAACUAACUCUGUCACUAUUAAUAUUGAGCUCUGCUUGGAUUUCAAAAACACCUUCAGCAACAUGUGAUUCUGCAGGCAGGGAGAAUGGUAGAAUAGGCAAAAAUGCCUGAUUUUAGGAUGUGCUGGGAGGCCUUUGUUUCUGUUCUAAUGGAGAGAGUAUUUGUCUCUGGGUGGUCUCAGUGUGAGACUAGUAUCCAUUUUGUCCUGUUCUGCAGAGAAUUUUCUGAUACACUUGUGAAGAUUUUUAGCAGCCUAAAGCUGGGAGAGUCCCCAGUGAUCUGCUCAAUAGCUUGUGUCCUCUACCUGACUUUCAAUCACUCACUACAAAUAGCCAAGGGAACAUAAACCAUUUUAGGACAUAAUAAUUUAUCCUUUGCCGAACAGUUAUUUUCUUUUCUUUGCUGACUCAAUGCAGUGACCAUCCAGAAUGCCUAAUUCAGGGUUCAGCAGCAGCUUCUUGUUCAGCUUCCUUAUUAAAAUCCCAGAGUAAUUUUCUAGCAGGGCAGUAUUUGCAUAGAUAAACUCGAUGAAAGACCAGAGGCCAACAGGGCAAGGGGAAGGGGUCAUUUCUUAUUCCCAUCUCAGUACUGGUUGUUCUUCUACUGGACAAUGGUUCUGAACACUCUCUCUAAUAAGAUGUGCUGCUGAAGGUAAUAAAUAACUGGGAAGCUGGGCAGCAGUAGCUUUUCUUAGAAAACCAAGGCAUUCAAUGUUGCCUACUUAAAGUUAGGCCCCUACAUUCAACCUUAAGUACCAAAACAAAUUGCUGUGAUGAUGAAAAACUCCACUUAGCCACAAAUCUAAUUCUGCCAAUGUGAGCUGUGAGUUCUCAGAGCUUUGUAGCAGCAGAGCACUUUGAUCUAUGUAAUCAGAUUUGGCAUUGUGUCUGUGCUUACAUCUCUCCAGGAGCAGCGUUCCAGGACUCUUGUCCAGGCAAUAUCAAGUGCAGGACACUGUCAUUGCCCUAAUAAAAAGGAAAAACUUUCUGUUCUCUUCUCAAGUUAUUUCUUCUUCAUUCGUUGAGCUCCAGAGACAGGAAUUUCAGGAGUUUACUGGAACUAGAGGACAGCUGCAAAAUCAGCAAUACUAAUUCCCUUCAUAGCACUAGCUGCGACCCAACUCUUUUGGGCCCAGAAUUAGGGAACUGUGAUGGCAUUCCAAGCCCAUGUGGAUGUCUGGUGGGAUCUACAGGAUUACUGGAGCAGAAUGUAAACUGGGGAGCAGGAUUACAUUCCUCAGGAAUGAAUCACCUCACCUGCUCUACCCACUAUGAAAAGGCUGUGGGGGCAAGAAUCACAACCUGAUAUUUAUUCCUUUGAAUGUGAUAUUGCAGGAGUAGUUCUCAAAAAAGAAUCAAGUUUUCUUGAAAACCUGUUGCCAGUUUAUCUGCCCUCAGGAACCCAUAUUAGUUACUUAAAUUUAUUUCUGUGGAAUUGGCAUAAUCUUUCUGCCCAACAGAAAAUUCCAAAUUUAUUUCUUAGCCCUUGAGCAGGAUCUAUCUGCAUCACUAAAAUCUUUAGGAAUCUUGAUUUUUAUACUUUCUAUCACACAAAAACAACAGGCUAUGUGCUGGGGUUUUUUGCCUACUACAGGUGUGGCAGGACCCUGAGGGACAAUUUAACCACCAGCCUCAAAUAAAACUCCAAUGUAAGAUGAUAAAGGAAAAAAAUAAAACCAUUCAUGUGCUGGGUGUUACAAACCAAGGGAGAGAAUAAAAUGGAGAGGCUCCUCCCAUUGACCAAUCCCACUUUUUUUAACACCAGUCUAAGGCAGUGACACACUUCAUGGUUGGACUGGGUGAUCUUAAAGGUCUUCUCCAACCUAAAUAAUUCUGUGAUUCUAUAAUUAGACCAUACUAAAAAAUCUGCAAUAUCAUGGGCUUUUUCACAGCUCUGUACCUACAAAAGAGCCUUCUAUUUUUUACUGGUUCUUCCUUGUAACUGCUUAUCUGCUGCGUGUUGGCACCUGCUAAGAAGCAUAACAAGACAAUAAAUCCCAAAAAGCAAAGAAAUUUGGAAAGCUCCAAGCAAUACUACCAAACACCCCAUAAGAUUUCUUUGUCUGACACUUUAUAUUUAAAAAUUAUCCCAGAGCACCCCCAAAAAAAUCUAUUUUACUUGUUUAACAAAAUGGAGUAUUGAUUUGCCAAAGCCUAAACAGAGCAGCCUACAUGAUUCAUUGAUCAUGAAUUUGGGCUCAGUCCAUAUGAUCAUUAAGUUCUUUGUCAGAUGCAUUAAUUUAUUCAUAAGCUUUGUUUAUGGCAGGCCCUUUUCACUGGCUGAUUUCAAAAUAACAAAACCUAAAUGCCUUCUUUACCUUCCAUGUCCCUGAGUACAGAAGACAAAACAGACUGUUCUAUCAACCUCAAAGAUUUAAUGAGCCUUGUGAAGAAUCCAGGAAUGCUAGAGGUUUUCAUGUCAGUCCAAGCUCCAGUACUACUUUGGAACUGUACUUCAUGAGCAUAAAAUUCCCCAAAGAAAGCAACCCCUUGUGCUGCCAUGUGGGGAAUGUGCCCAAAUCUGAGAACAUCAGUAGUCAAACUAUGAGGGACUCCAUAUGUUUUUCCAGGAUUGUCAGGAAAUGCUGGUUGUGUGACAUAAAGCUACUUUUUUGAUGGGCCAGCAUGGCAAUAAAUUGUAUUGGUUGGAAAGUUUUGAUAGUCAGGUUAAAGGAUUUUAAACCAGAAUCUGGUUAACACCCAUGGCUUAACAACAAAUCAAAACCUUUUCGCUUUUCCUUGAUACAUCCUCUUCGAUUUAAAGUAAAGCAACAGGAAGAAAGAGAGUUCUAGAUUCUGGUGUUUUGAACAUAGUACUGUUUUAAAUUCCAGAGCUGGCUGUAGAGCUUAGUAGGCAGGAGAUAUCUACAAUGAAAAAUGAGUCCUCAUAAUCAAUAUCUGAGUAUUUGCUGCACUCCAUUAAUCCUGCAUCAAGAGGUAACACUGCAGCCAUGAAGAAUUUCUUCUAGAGGAGAAUAGGCUGGGAUCUUACACUGAGUCAGGUAGGCUGUGAUAACAGACAGGGUUCAGCAUCUGCCCAAAACACAGGAGAGCUCUUGGAGGAAGUUGGAUAAGCUCUGCUGCCUUUUCCUCAUGGUGCGGGGGUUGAAGACAUACCCAGAGCCAGCUCCCUCCCAGGAUGUUCCCUCCUCACCUUGUCAGAAUUCCAUGGCCAGCCCAUCUCCUUGGCAUGCAGCUGUCAACCUUUGAGCACCAGCCAAUGCUUGGGAAGGAAGAUGAAACACCUUGUGCUUUUCUUGGUCUUGUUUAAAGAAAGAAUAAAAUAGUUCUGCUCUCAAUAA